rnacentral:snoRNA from 1 species
AAGACCUUACUUCUACAGGAUCAUUUCUAUAGGUCUUAUCGCGAUCAUUCACUCGAAUUUUCGCGUGUCUCAAACCACGAUGAGGAGUUGUGGUGAACUCUCUUGAGCGGGAAGCGGAUCAUAAGAUGCCCUUUUGGGUGACUGUUGAUCAUUGAAGACCGUUCCGUCAUUUGCCUUGGUAAGUGACGGGGGAGAGUUCACGUUCUGAGUGGU